rnacentral:lncRNA from 1 species
UGCACGCUAGCUAAUUCACGUUAUUGGAACGACACUACGGAAUCACACUAAGCUAGCUUUGCACAGGAAUAUCCAGGUUGCAUUUUCAAAACUAUGGAACGGUUGGAAUAGGAGAACCCAUGGGAAUUCAAGUACUUAGCGGCGUUCAUUUUCUAGAAGUCUUAGCUAAUUGCUUCCGCUGUGCAAUGAAGAUACCGGUCCAGUUUCAGCGAAUUAGGUUUCUGUAG